rnacentral:rRNA from 1 species
GUGUCAGCAGCCGCGGUAAGACAGGGGCCUCGAGCGUUAAUCGGAAUUACUGGGCUUAAAGGGUGCGUAGGCGGGCCUGCAAGUGCUUUGUGAAAUCCCCCGGCUCAACCGGGGAACUGCGGGGCAUACUGCGGGUCUUGAGGAAGGUAGGCGCCGAGGGAACAGUAGGUGGAGCGGUGAAAUGCGUAGAUAUCUACUGGAACGCCGAUGGUGAAGACGCUCGGCCGGGCCUUUCCUGACGCUGAGGCACGAAAGCGUGGGGAGCAAACAGGAUUAGAAACCCCUGUAGUCC